rnacentral:rRNA from 1 species
GACGGAGGGUGCUAGCGUUGUUCGGAAUUACUGGGCGUAAAGGGCGCGUAGGCGGCCUGUUAAGUCGGGUGUGAAAGCCCGGGGCUCAACCCCGGAACGGCACCCGAGACUGGCGGGCUUGAGACCUAGAGAGGAGAGUGGAAUACCCAGUGUAGAGGUGAAAUUCGUAGAUAUUUGGUGGAACACCAGUGGCGAAAGCGGCUCUCUGGCUCGGUUCUGACGCUGAGGCGCGAAAGCGUGGGGAGCAAACAGG